UACGGGGGGAGCAAGCGUUGUUCGGAUUUACUGGGCGUACAGGGAGCGUAGGCGGUUCGGUAAGCCCUCUGUGAAAUCUCCAGGCUUAACCUGGAACAGUCGGAGGGGACUGCCGGGCUAGAGGACGGGAGAGGAGCGCGGAAUUCCCGGUGUAGCGGUGAAAUGCGUAGAUAUGCGGAGGAACACCGAUGGCGAAGGCAAUCCCCUGGGCCUGUACUGACGC
rnacentral:rRNA from 1 species